rnacentral:rRNA from 1 species
GUGGGGAAUCUUCCGCAAUGGACGAAAGUCUGACGGAGCGACGCCGCGUGAGUGAAGAAGGCCUUCGGGUCGUAAAGCUCUGUCAUCAGGGACGAACGGCCGGUGGAGUGGAAAGCCACCGGAUUGACGGUACCUGAGAAGGAAGCCACGGCUAACUACGUGCCAGCAGCCGCGGUAAUACGUAGGUGGCAAGCGUUGUCCGGAAUUAUUGGGCGUAAAGCGCGCGCAGGUGGGAUCUUAAGUCCAUUUUGAAAGUUCGGAGCUCAACGCCGGGAUGGGAUGGAAACUGGGAGUCUUGAGUACCGGAGAGGAAAGCGGAAUUCCCCGUGUAGCGGUGAAAUGCGUAGAUAUGGGGAGGAACACCAGUGGCGAAGGCGGCUUUCUGGACGGUGUCUGACACUGAGGCGCGAAAGCCAGGGGAGCGAACGGGAUUAGAAACCCUGGUAGUCC